rnacentral:lncRNA from 1 species
GUUCACGUCUCCUCCACUUUUAGGGACCUGGGAUGCACCUCCAGAUCUGAUCUUUCACUCUCAAGGUCCUAAGAAUUAAGACUAGGGAUAUGAUACUGUGAGACUAUCAGAUCUGGAUUGAAACCAUUGACGAGGAAGAGUCCUUGUUGGAUUAUGACUCCAUGGCAGCGUCUCCAUACCGUAGUCUUUACCUUGUGCUCUCCAUCAUGGCCCCUACACACCUCUAAUCUAAACCAAAUCAGAGCCCAGACCUCCCCAUGAGAUCACCUACUUAUUCUCCUAAAAAUUAGGGUAUUGACACAUCCAAAAUAUGAAGCUAUACUGCACAAGAAAGAGAGACCCUACAGCCUUCUACAAAACUGCAGCCUUUGCAUUUUACACCUUGUUCUUCCUCUCCUAAAAUCCUGUUGAUACCAGAUCUGAAACCCUCUACUCUAGAUCUGAAACACCUUCCUUGAAGCCCCCAACCAAUAGAGAGAAAAGAGGGCAUGGAGACCUG